GGAUGAACGUUGGCGGUGUGCCUAAUACAUGCAAGUCGAACGGAGAUCAUAAAGUAGUAAUACCUUGUGAUUCUUAGUGGCGAACGGGUGAGUAACGCGUUGGUGACCUGCCCCGAAGUGUGGAAUAACAAUUCGAAAGAAUUGCUAAUACCGCAUGUGAUUUUAGAGACUAGAUGCUCUUUAAUUAAAGGAUUUAUUCGCUUCGGGAGGGGCCUGCGUCCCAUCAGCUAGUUGGUAAGGUAAUGGCUUACCAAGGCUAUGACGGGUAGGGGACCUGAGAGGGUGGCCCCCCACAAUGGAACUGAAACACGGUCCAUACACCUACGGGUGGCAGCAGUAGGGAAUAUUAGUAAUGGGCGAAAGCCUGAACUAGCAACACCGCGUGUGCGAAGAAGGCCUUCGGGUUGUAAAGCACUUUUCGGGAGGAUGAGGAAGGACGGUACUCCCGGAAUAAGUCUCGGCUAACUACGUGCCAGCAGCCGCGGUAAAACGUAGGAGGCAAACGUUAUCCGGAUUUACUGGGCGUAAAGCGCGUGUAGGUGGUUUGGUAAGUAGGGCGUGAAAGCUCCUGGCUCAACUGGGAGAGGUCGUUCUAAACUGCCGAGCUAGAGGAUGGUAGAGGGAGGUGGAAUUCCGGGUGUAGCGGUGGAAUGCGCAGAUAUCCGGAGGAACACCAGUGGCGAAAGCGGCCUCCUGGACCACUCCUGACACUCAGACGCGAAAGCUAGGGUAGCAAACGGGAUUAGAGACCCCGGUAGUCCUAGCCGUAAACGAUGUAGACUUGGCGUCGGUGGUUUAAUAUCCAUCGGUGUCGUAGCUAACGCGAUAAGUCUACCGCCUGGGGACUACGGCCGCAAGGUUAAAACUCAAAGGAAUUGACGGGUCCCCGCACAAGCAGCGGAGCGUGUGGUUUAAUUCGUUGCUACACGAAGAACCUUACCUGGGUUUGACAUAAAGGUGGUAGGGAGCCGAAAGGUGACCGACCCUUCGGGGAGCCUCUACAGGUGCUGCAUGGCUGUCGUCAGCUCGUGUCGUGAGAUGUUGGGUUAAGUCCCGCAACGAGCGCAACCCCUGCUGCCAGUUGCCAACGGUUGAAGCCGGGCACUCUGGCGGGACUGCCAUCGACAAGAUGGAGGAAGGUGGGGAUGACGUCAAGUCAUCAUGGCCCUUAUGUCCAGGGCGACACACGUGCUACAAUGGUCGGCACAACGGGAAGCGAGGUAGUGAUGCCGAGCGGAUCCCUUAAAGCCGGUCUCAGUUCGGAUUGAAGUCUGCAACUCGACUUCAUGAAGCUGGAAUCGCUAGUAAUCGCAGAUCAGCCAAGCUGCGGUGAAUACGUUCCCGGGCCU
rnacentral:rRNA from 1 species